CUGCAAGACGUAAAAUGAGGUCAUGUGACACGUUCUUGCAUGGCCUAAUUCGACUGGCUACUUCAGGAUAUUAGUAGAAUGCUCUUCUUACAUCUUCCUGUUCGAAUGAUCAGUAGAGCAGUUUGGGUCACUCAUCUAUUGUAAUUAAAUUACUCUUUUUUGGAGUUGCCAUUAAUCUAAUCCUUGCUCGGUAGAGCAUUCGUCCGAAUUCUCCAUAGGACUCUCACAUAUAGACUAUAUAGAGCAGUGGGCAUAUAAUAGUCAUUGAGGGAGCUUUAAUGUCUCGUUGCAAAGAAUCAGCUGAAGCCAAUCGCUGCCAUAUUGGUAAUCCUUAAAUUCGUAUCUUUGCAGUUGGAAUUGGAUGCUCUUCAGUGUAGUUAAUAUACAGUAAACCCCUGCUAAUCCGCUAAUAUACAGUAAAUCCCCAAAUGAUAUAUAAAGUGUAUAGUGUACUGGUUAUAUGAUGAAUCAUUUCUGUUGAAACUGAACAACUAUUUCACACUAUGAUAAUUAAUAAAACUUUUAAUUUACAAAAGGAACAUAUAUUAACACUAGAACUUCACACAGUUCGUCCAUGUCUGAAGAACAAAAAAAAACAAAAAAAAAACAAAAAAAGGGCGGGGGAAAAACAAGAGGGCACUCAAGAGAAAAAAACGACUAGUGUUGCACCAAAAAAAAAACAACAGAUCAUGAAAAUGUUUAGAAAAAUAUUUUCCUUAUUUUUCAACAAUUUCGAAUCUCCAAUACUGUCAUACGGAAAUUAAUUACACAAAAUUCAUACGUGUGGUCGAAUCACUUUCAACUAAGCAAGAACACGAACAUUACCGAUUUUUUUACUAACCACGAUUGCAUGGAUUUACUUAUUUGCAUAAACUGUUCUUUCACAACCAGAUAACCACCAGUUAGCCAGUGAAAUAUCUGCCAAGAAAUAACACCCAAAGUAGUUGGAGCUUCAGUUUCUUCGUUUUAUCACCGACUGUUCACGGCUUGUUUGCGAAAGGUCAUCGUUUUGAGCAUCUUUAAAUUGUAAACAAGAGAUUAUUUCAAAUGAGGAAAGCAGAAAAGAGAAAUAAUGUACGUACUUACUUUCACCAUGGACGAGUAUUAAAUUUUGCAUCUCGUUAACCGAUGA